rnacentral:rRNA from 1 species
GGUUAAGCGACUAAGCGUACACGGUGGAUGCCCUGGCAGUCAGAGGCGAUGAAGGACGUGCUAAUCUGCGAAAAGCGUCGGUAAGGUGAUAUGAACCGUUACAGCCGGCGAUGUCCGAAUGGGGAAACCCAGUGCAAUUCGUUGCACUAUCGUUAACUGAAUACAUAGGUUAACGAGGCGAACCGGGGGAACUGAAACAUCUAAGUACCCCGAGGAAAAGAAAUCAACCGAGAUUCCCCCAGUAGCGGCGAGCGAACGGGGAGCAGCCCGGAGUCUGAAUCAGCUUGUGUGUUAGUGGAAGCGUCUGGAAAGUCGCAGGGUACAGGGUGAUACUCCCGUACACUAAAACACACAGGUUGUGAACUCGAAGAGUAGGGCGGGACACGUGGUAUCCUGUCUGAAUAUGGGGGGACCAUCCUCCAAGGCUAAAUACUCCUGACUGACCGAUAGUGAACCAGUACCGUGAGGGAAAGGCGAAAAGAACCCCGGCGAGGGGAGUGAAAAAGAACCUGAAACCGUGUACGUACAAGCAGUAGGAGCCCACUUGUUGGGUGACUGCGUACCUUUUGUAUAAUGGGUCAGCGACUUAUAUUCUGUAGCAAGGUUAACCGUAUAGGGGAGCCGCAGGGAAACCGAGUCUUAACUGGGCGUUAAGUUGCAGGGUAUAGACCCGAAACCCGGUGAUCUAGCCAUGGGCAGGUUGAAGGUUGGGUAACACUAACUGGAGGACCGAACCGACUAAUGUUGAAAAAUUAGCGGAUGACUUGUGGCUGGGGGUGAAAGGCCAAUCAAACCGGGAGAUAGCUGGUUCUCCCCGAAAGCUAUUUAGGUAGCGCCUCGUGAAUUCAUCUUCGGGGGUAGAGCACUGUUUCGGCUAGGGGGUCAUCCCGACUUACCAACCCGAUGCAAACUACGAAUACCGAAGAAUGUUAUCACGGGAGACACACGGCGGGUGCUAACGUCCGUCGUGAAGAGGGAAACAACCCAGACCGCCAGCUAAGGUCCCAAAGUCAUGGUUAAGUGGGAAACGAUGUGGGAAGGCCCAGACAGCCAGGAUGUUGGCUUAGAAGCAGCCAUCAUUUAAAGAAAGCGUAAUAGCUCACUGGUCGAGUCGGCCUGCGCGGAAGAUGUAACGGGGCUAAACCAUGCACCGAAGCUGCGGCAGCGACACUAUGUGUUGUUGGGUAGGGGAGCGUUCUGUAAGCCGUUGAAGGUGGCCUGUGAGGGUUGCUGGAGGUAUCAGAAGUGCGAAUGCUGACAUAAGUAACGAUAAUGCGGGUGAAAAACCCGCACGCCGGAAGACCAAGGGUUCCUGUCCAACGUUAAUCGGGGCAGGGUGAGUCGACCCCUAAGGCGAGGCCGAAAGGCGUAGUCGAUGGGAAACAGGUUAAUAUUCCUGUACUCGGUGUUACUGCGAAGGGGGGACGGAGAAGGCUAUGUUGGCCGGGCGACGGUUGUCCCGGUUUAAGCAUGUAGGCGGAUGUUCCAGGUAAAUCCGGAACGUUACUAACGCUGAGGUGUGAUGACGAGGCACUACGGUGCUGAAGUGACAAAUGCCCUGCUUCCAGGAAAAGCCUCUAAGCAUCAGGUAACAUCAAAUCGUACCCCAAACCGACACAGGUGGUCAGGUAGAGAAUACCAAGGCGCUUGAGAGAACUCGGGUGAAGGAACUAGGCAAAAUGGUGCCGUAACUUCGGGAGAAGGCACGCUGAUGGUAGGUGAAGUGACUUGCUCAUGGAGCUGAAAUCAGUCGAAGAUACCAGCUGGCUGCAACUGUUUAUUAAAAACACAGCACUGUGCAAACACGAAAGUGGACGUAUACGGUGUGACGCCUGCCCGGUGCCGGAAGGUUAAUUGAUGGGGUUAUCCGUAAGGAGAAGCUCUUGAUCGAAGCCCCGGUAAACGGCGGCCGUAACUAUAACGGUCCUAAGGUAGCGAAAUUCCUUGUCGGGUAAGUUCCGACCUGCACGAAUGGCGUAAUGAUGGCCAGGCUGUCUCCACCCGAGACUCAGUGAAAUUGAACUCGCUGUGAAGAUGCAGUGUACCCGCGGCAAGACGGAAAGACCCCGUGAACCUUUACUAUAGCUUGACACUGAACACUGGUCCUUGAUGUGUAGGAUAGGUGGGAGGCUUUGAAGUGUGGACGCCAGUCUGCAUGGAGCCAUCCUUGAAAUACCACCCUUUAAUGGCUGGUGUUCUAACGUGGGCCCCUGAUCGGGGUUGCGGACAGUGUCUGGUGGGUAGUUUGACUGGGGCGGUCUCCUCCUAAAGAGUAACGGAGGAGCACGAAGGUCAGCUAAUCCUGGUCGGACAUCAGGAGGUUAGUGCAAUGGCAUAAGCUGGCUUGACUGCGAGCGUGACGGCGCGAGCAGGUGCGAAAGCAGGUCAUAGUGAUCCGGUGGUUCUGAAUGGAAGGGCCAUCGCUCAACGGAUAAAAGGUACUCCGGGGAUAACAGGCUGAUACCGCCCAAGAGUUCAUAUCGACGGCGGUGUUUGGCACCUCGAUGUCGGCUCAUCACAUCCUGGGGCUGAAGUAGGUCCCAAGGGUAUGGCUGUUCGCCAUUUAAAGUGGUACGCGAGCUGGGUUUAGAACGUCGUGAGACAGUUCGGUCCCUAUCUGCCGUGGGCGCUGGAGAAUUGAGGGGGGCUGCUCCUAGUACGAGAGGACCGGAGUGGACGCAUCACUGGUGUUCGGGUUGUCAUGCCAAUGGCAUUGCCCGGUAGCUAAAUGCGGAAGAGAUAAGUGCUGAAAGCAUCUAAGCACGAAACUUGCCCCGAGAUGAGUUCUCCCUGACCCUUUAAGGGUCCUGAAGGAACGUUGAAGACGACGACGUUGAUAGGCCGGGUGUGUAAGCGCAGCGAUGCGUUGAGCUAACCGGUACUAAUGAACCGUGAGGCUUAACCUU